rnacentral:tRNA from 1 species
GGGCGCGUAGCUCAACGGUAGAGCAGACGUCUUAUACACGUCUGGUUCUUGGUCCGAAUCCAAGCGCGCCCACCA